UACGGGGGGGGCAAGCGUUGUUCGGAAUUACUGGGCGUAAAGGGCGCGUAGGCGGCCUUCUAAGUCAGACGUGAAAUCCCUCGGCUCAACCGAAGGAACUGCGUCUGAUACUGGAAGGCUUGAAUCCGGGAGAGGGAUGUGGAAUUCCAGGUGUAGCGGUGAAAUGCGUAGAUAUCUGGAGGAACACCGGUGGCGAAGGCGGCAUCCUGGACCGGUAUUGACGCUGAGGCGCGAAAGCUAGGGGAGCAAACGGG
rnacentral:rRNA from 1 species